UGAGGAAUAUUGGUCAAUGGACGCAAGUCUGAACCAGCCAAGUAGCGUGCAGGAUGACGGCCCUAUGGGUUGUAAACUGCUUUUAUAUGGGGAUAAAGUGGGGAACGUGUUCCCUUUUGUAGGUACCAUAUGAAUAAGGACCGGCUAAUUCCGUGCCAGCAGCCGCGGUAAUACGGAAGGUUCGGGCGUUAUCCGGAUUUAUUGGGUUUAAAGGGAGCGUAGGCCGUUUGGUAAGCGUGUUGUGAAAUGUAGGAGCUCAACUUCUAGAUUGCAGCGCGAACUGUCAGACUUGAGUGCGCACAACGUAGGCGGAAUUCAUGGUGUAGCGGUGAAAUGCUUAGAUAUCAUGAAGAUCUCCGAUUGCGAAGGCAGCUUACGGGGGCGCAACUGACGCUGAAGCUCGAAGGUGCGGGUAUCGAACAGG
rnacentral:rRNA from 1 species